ACCUAGCUGAUGAGUCCUAAAUAGGACGAAAUGUGCUUUCUGGGU
rfam:Schistosoma margrebowiei strain Zambia genome assembly, scaffold: SMRZ_scaffold0001469